rnacentral:lncRNA from 1 species
UGGUAUACGCAAUACUGAUACUAAUAACAAUUUUUCUUAUACUGUACGUGCAUAAAGUGGUAAGGGUACUCUGGCAGACUCUAAUGGGGAUAUAUUUAAUGAGCAUACAAAUUGUUCGUGGUAUAAAAGCAUUGGGAAGAUGCUCACUUCUUACUGACUUAAUUGCCGGAAGUAUGACAAGGAGAGCUCUGCAUGGCGCCCAGCGAGCAGUCGAAGAUAGAGCUAGACAGAUUAACAACAAUGGACGACCGCAAGCAGGUAGAGUGCCUUUGUUGUUAUUAUUAACAUUACUUGCAGUUAUACAAACAAACAAUCUUGGAACAAAUGCUGAAUGCACUAAUCACAUGAUACAAAAAA